UACUUAUUAUCCAGUUCUUUACAGAAGAAGUUUGCUAACCACUGCUAUAGGGAUGUAAAACAGCCAGAGCACAAUGAUCUUGGGAAACCCUACUAAAGAAUUUAUACUUCAUUCGAAGGAGCAAUGGAAAGGCUGAUAAAGGAUUUUAAGCAUGGGGAUGACCUGCUCAUCAGGUUUGUGUUUCAGGAAAAUCAUUUUGGCUGCAUACACAGAAUGGAUUGGAGGGAGCUGGACUCAUGGAAAGGGCGCCAGUUAGAAACGUACUGCAAUAACCCAGAUAGGUGAAGACCAUGGCCCGAACUGGUACAUACCCAGAGCUAUGAUACAAGGUACUUAUGGAUGAACAUGUUGUAGGCCUUAUUAUAAUAAACCAGAGCCAGACCUCCUCUGAGCAAGAAGGAAUUCUGUAGCAGAUGGUUUUGCCCUUGAACUCCAGCAUCUGCACUUCCCUGGAUCUCCAGCCUGCCAGGUUACCCAGAAGAUUUUGGACUUGCCAGACUCUGUAGUAGUAAAUUCUGAAGCUGAGAAUCAUGGGAAGUCUGUUGCCUGCUCCAAGAAGACUCUGGGUUCAUUGCAUCUAGAGAUCCAAUUUGCAUUCUGAGCAGUCAGGAAGAUCAAAUACCUACCUACUGAAUGCUGAGAAGACGGUGGAGCCAGUCCCCUCAUUUCCUGACCUUUGGCAGUCAACCCCUUAAAUUGUACUAAGAGUGGACACUCCAUAAAUUGUACUGGACAUUCCACAAAUUGCAUUAAGGGUGCUCCCCGGUCUUGUUCCAAACUCAACUGGAUUGGGGCUUAGAGAAAAUGUUUCAGGCAUGGAUUUUCUUCAGUAACUUUGCAGCCAGAAACACCACCAAGAAGCCUCUGAACCUCUUAAACAGAUGUGUAUGUUACUGUACUUUGUACUGCCAGGAUCUGUCCCCAGUUUCACUUUGCCAAAGUCUGUGGGUGCCUUUGAACUCCAAAUGGCUUCCAGAUUUUGUGUGAGUGCUGUGAGUGGCAGCAUUCAACCAGAAAUGCCUGGCGCUGCAUGAACAGAAAUAGCUCCAGGGGCUAAGGAGCUGCUAUGCUCCCUGAUUCUGACCACAGUUGGCCCUCUGGCUCUUGAAUACACAGUGCCUUUGGGGAAGGAUGCUAGCUUGAGACCCUUACCACCUCUGGAUUCUGACUCAUCUGUGAACAUUGGACAGACUCCUGGACAUGGUGCUAUGUGCUGGAGGUCCUGACAGGACCCCUGGGAAAGAAAGGAGGGCAGCAGACAGAUGGGCUUUACCAGAAACAAAGUCCCAGUGUGCAAAGGGAACUGGGGCUUAAGGGCACUAAUUCGUGUCUGUAAUUUGAAUGUUCUUCCCGUCAAGAGGGGAGACAAAACAAAACUGAAAGAACUGUUUGUACUAUAAACUGUUUUAGUAAGCCUCAAAUACACCGUAAAGCACAAGGGGAAGCAGGCAUUACCUCCAUGGUGAGAACACUGAUGGGUUUGAGAAGGCUGUGUAUCAGGUCCUUAUACUAAGGUCCAAUAUUUUGUGCUAUCUUGGCAGCUGGUGAAAUAGACAAUAGUUACUGCCUGUGUGUUUGGGGUUUAAGGACCCGAAGUCUUUUGAGUUUACUUACUUGUUUUUUGUUUUGCUUUAUUUUUCAAAGUUCCUCCCCUGCUCCUCCGCAAAAGCACUGGUGUGAUACUAUACAUAUCAUUAGCUAGGUAUUUCAUUUGACAGUCAUUAAAAAAGAAUCUGUGCUCAAAAGAAAACUUCUCUCAGGGAGAUGAGAUUUGAAACAUAAAAAUGAAUGAAAAUAACUAAAAGUAUUCUUUAUGAGCCUCUAGAUAAUAUUUAUAACUACCAGACGUAGGAAAUAGUUUCAUUUCAGAAUUGACCUCAAGUAAAUUGCCAGCUGAGACCUCCCUACCUACAAAAUAAACACAGUGCAGCACUAAAGGAAUGGUAUUUUUUUAAGGCACAGGAGUCUAAAUCCAGUUACUCUUGAAAUUAUUUUUUUAAAAUUUAGUAAGAUGAAGGAUUUCCUGCUGUAGUGGGGUGGGUUAAUGAUCUGGGUUGUUUCUGUGGAGGUGCCUGUUCAAUCUCCAACCCAGCACAGUAGGUUAAGGAUCUGGUGUUGCUGCAGCUGUGACAUAGGCCUCUGCUCUGGCUUGGAUUUGAACC